UGGGGAAUAUUGGACAAUGGGCGAAAGCCUGAUCCAGCAAUGCCGCGUGUGUGAAGAAGGCCUUAGGGUUGUAAAGCACUUUCAGUAGGGAAGAAAGCCUACUAUUUAAUAAAUAAUAGGUAUGACAUUACCUACAGAAGAAGCACCGGCUAACUCCGUGCCAGCAGCCGCGGUAAUACGGAGGGUGCAAGCGUUAAUCGGAAUUACUGGGCGUAAAGCGUACGUAGGCGGAUAUUUAAGUCGGAUGUGAAAGCCCCGGGCUCAACCUGGGAACUGCAUACGAUACUGGGUAUCUAGAAUAUGGGAUAGGGGAGAGGAAUUUCCGGUGUAGCGGUGAAAUGCGUAGAUAUCGGAAAGAACACCAGUGGCGUAGGCGUCUCCCUGGCCUGAUAUUGACGCUGAGGUACGAAAGCGUGGGUAGCAAACAGG
rnacentral:rRNA from 1 species